rnacentral:rRNA from 1 species
UCGCUAGCAUGCUUAACACAUGCAAGUCGAACGAUGAUGCCCAGCUUGCUGGGCGGAUUAGUGGCGAACGGGUGAGUAAUACGUGAGUAACCUGCCCUCGACUCUGGGAUAAGCCUGGGAAACUGGGUCUAAUACUGGAUACUACCUCUUACCGCAUGGUGGGUGGUGGAAAGGGUUUUACUGGUUUUGGAUGGGCUCACGGCCUAUCAGCUUGUUGGUGGGGUAAUGGCUCACCAAGGCGACGACGGGUAGCCGGCCUGAGAGGGUGACCGGCCACACUGGGACUGAGACACGGCCCAGACUCCUACGGGAGGCAGCAGUGGGGAAUAUUGCACAAUGGGCGG